rnacentral:snoRNA from 1 species
ACUACCCCUAUAAGCAUUAUAGAUAUGGUUGCUGUGUCAUAUGUGUGUCAUUGGAUGGCAAAGAGAACAGAGGAUAUGUCUCAGUCCAGUGUUCUGACCUAAGAACAUCU